rnacentral:rRNA from 1 species
CACGUAGGGGCCAAGCGUUGUCCGGAUUUAUUGGGCGUAAAGAGCUCGUAGGCGGUUCGACAAGUCGGGUGUGAAACUCCGGGCUCAACCCGGAGACGCCACCCGAUACUGUCGUGACUGGAGUCCGGUAGGGGAGUGGGGAAUUCCUGGUGUAGCGGUGAAAUGCGCAGAUAUCAGGAGGAACACCGGUGGCGAAGGCGGGUCUCUGGGCCGAUACUGACGCUGAGGAGCGAAAGCGUGGGGAGCGAACAGG